AACGAACGCUGGCGGCGCGCCUAAUACAUGCAAGUCGAGCGAGAAGACGUAGCAAUACGUUUGUAAAGCGGCGAACGGGUGAGGAAUACAUGGGUAACCUACCCUCGAGUGGGGAAUAACUAGCCGAAAGGUUAGCUAAUACCGCGUACGCUCCUUGGACUUCGGUUCAGGGAGGAAAGCGAUACCGUGGGUAUCGCGCUCUUGGAUGGGCUCAUGUCCUAUCAGCUUGUUGGUGAGGAACGGCUCACCAAGGCUUCGACGGGUAGCUGGUCUGAGAGGACGAUCAGCCACACUGGCACUGCGACACGGGCCAGACUCCUACGGGAGCAGCAGUAAGGAAUAUUGCGCAAUGGGCGAAAGCCUGACGCAGCGACGCCGCGUGGGGGAUGAAGGUCUUCGGAUUGUAAACCCCUUUCGGGAGGGAAGAUGGAACGAGCAAUCGUUCGGACGGUACCUCCAGAAGCAGCCACGGCUAACUUCGUGCCAGCCGCCGCUGU
rnacentral:rRNA from 1 species